UACGUAGGGUCCGAGCGUUGUCCGGAAUUAUUGGGCGUAAGGGCUCGAUAGGCGGUUUGUCGUCGUCGGGAGUGAAAACGCCGGGCUUAAACCCGGUGCUUGGCUUUCGAUACGGGCAGACUGGAGGUAUGCAGGGGAGAACGGAAUUCCGGUGGUGUAGCGGUGAAAUGCGCAGAUAAUCAGGAGGAACACCGGUGGCGAAGGCGGUUCUCUGGGCCGACUGAUCGACGCUGAGGAGCGAAAGCGUGGGGAGCGAACAGG
rnacentral:rRNA from 1 species